rnacentral:misc_RNA from 1 species
GAUGAAGAACGCAGCGAAAUGCGAUACGUAAUGUGAAUUGCAAAUUCAGUGAAUCAUCGAGUCUUUGAACGCACAUUGCGCCCCCUGGUAUUCCGGGGGGCAUGCCUGUCCGAGCGUCAUUGCUGCCCUCAAGCACGGCUUGUGUGUUGGGCCCCGUCCUCCGAUCCCGGGGGACGGGCCCGAAAGGCAGCGGCGGCACUGCGUCCGGUCCUCGAGCGUAUGGGGCUUUGUCACCCGCUCUGUAGGCCCGGCCGGCGCUUGCCGAUCAACCCAAAUUUUUAUCCAGGUUGACCUCGGAUCAGGUAGGGAUACCCGCUGAACUUAAGCAUAUCAAUAAGCGGAGGA